AACGAACGCUGGCGGCAUGCCUAAUACAUGCAAGUUGAGCGCUGAAGGUUGGUACUUGUACCGACUGGAUGAGCAGCGAACGGGUGAGUAACGCGUGGGGAAUCUGCCUUUGAGCGGGGGACAACAUUUGGAAACGAAUGCUAAUACCGCAUAAAAACUUUAAACACAAGUUUUAAGUUUGAAAGAUGCAAUUGCAUCACUCAAAGAUGAUCCCGCGUUGUAUUAGCUAGUUGGUGAGGUAAAGGCUCACCAAGGCGAUGAUACAUAGCCGACCUGAGAGGGUGAUCGGCCACAUUGGGACUGAGACACGGCCCAAACUCCUACGGGAGGCAGCAGUAGGGAAUCUUCGGCAAUGGACGAAAGUCUGACCGAGCAACGCCGCGUGAGUGAAGAAGGUUUUCGGAUCGUAAAACUCUGUUGGUAGAGAAGAACGUUGGUGAGAGUGGAAAGCUCAUCAAGUGACGGUAACUACCCAGAAAGGGACGGCUAACUACGUG
rnacentral:rRNA from 1 species